UAAUACGGAGGGCGCAAGCGUUGUUCGGAAUCACUGGGCAUAAAGAGCACGUAGGCUGUUCAAUCAGUCGGAUGUGAAAGCCCUCGGCCCAACCGGGGAACUGCAUUCGAUACUAUUGAGCUAGAGGACAGGAGGGGUGAGUGGAACUCCAGGUGGAACGGUGAAAUGUGUAGAUAUCUGGAGGAACACCGGUGGCGAAAGCGGCUCACUGGCCUGUCUCUGACGCUGAGGUGCGAAAGCUAGGGUAGCGAACGGGAUUAGAUACCCCGGUAGUCCUAGCCGUAAACGAUGGGCACUAGGCAAUGGGUUUCCCUAUGGAGUUCAUUGCCGUAGCAAAUGUGUUAAGUGCCCCGCCUGGGGAGUACGCUCGCAAGGGUA
rnacentral:rRNA from 1 species